AGACCCGAAACCCGGUGAUCUAGCCAUGGGCAGGUUGAAGGUUGGGUAACACUAACUGGAGGACCGAACCGACUAAUGUUGAAAAAUUAGCGGAUGACCUGUGGCUGGGGGUGAAAGGCCAAUCAAACCGGGAGAUAGCUGGUUCUCCCCGAAAGCUAUUUAGGUAGCGCCUCGUGAAUUCAUCUCCGGGGGUAGAGCACUGUUUCGGCUAGGGGGCCAUCCCGGCUUACCAACCCGAUGCAAACUGCGAAUACCGGAGAAUGUUAUCACGGGAGACACACGGCGGGUGCUAACGUCCGUCGUGAAGAGGGAAACAACCCAGACCGCCAGCUAAGGUCCCAAAGUCAUGGUUAAGUGGGAAACGAUGUGGGAAGGCCCAGACAGCCAGGAUGUUGGCUUAGAAGCAGCCAUCAUUUAAAGAAAGCGUAAUAGCUCACUGGUCGAGUCGGCCUGCGCGGAAGAUGUAACGGGGCUAAACCAUGCACCGAAGCUGCGGCAGCGACGCUUAUGCGUUGUUGGGUAGGGGAGCGUUCUGUAAGCCUGUGAAGGUGGCCUGUGAGGGUUGCUGGAGGUAUCAGAAGUGCGAAUGCUGACAUAAGUAACGAUAAAGCGGGUGAAAAGCCCGCUCGCCGGAAGACCAAGGGUUCCUGUCCAACGUUAAUCGGGGCAGGGUGAGUCGACCCCUAAGGCGAGGCCGAAAGGCGUAGUCGAUGGGAAACGGGUUAAUAUUCCCGUACUUGGUGUUACUGCGAAGGGGGGACGGAGAAGGCUAUGUUGGCCGGGCGACGGUUGUCCCGGUUUAAGCGUGUAGGCUGGUUUUCCAGGCAAAUCCGGAAAAUCAAGGCUGAGGCGUGAUGACGAGGCACUACGGUGCUGAAGCAACAAAUGCCCUGCUUCCAGGAAAAGCCUCUAAGCAUCAGGUAACAUCAAAUCGUACCCCAAACCGACACAGGUGGUCAGGUAGAGAAUACCAAGGCGCUUGAGAGAACUCGGGUGAAGGAACUAGGCAAAAUGGUGCCGUAACUUCGGGAGAAGGCACGCUGACACGUAGGUGAAGUGAUUUACUCAUGGAGCUGAAGUCAGUCGAAGAUACCAGCUGGCUGCAACUGUUUAUUAAAAACACAGCACUGUGCAAACACGAAAGUGGACGUAUACGGUGUGACGCCUGCCCGGUGCCGGAAGGUUAAUUGAUGGGGUCAGCGCAAGCGAAGCUCCUGAUCGAAGCCCCGGUAAACGGCGGCCGUAACUAUAACGGUCCUAAGGUAGCGAAAUUCCUUGUCGGGUAAGUUCCGACCUGCACGAAUGGCGUAAUGAUGGCCAGGCUGUCUCCACCCGAGACUCAGUGAAAUUGAACUCGCUGUGAAGAUGCAGUGUACCCGCGGCAAGACGGAAAGACCCCGUGAACCUUUACUAUAGCUUGACACUGAACAUUGAGCCUUGAUGUGUAGGAUAGGUGGGAGGCUUUGAAGCGUGGACGCCAGUCUGCGUGGAGCCGACCUUGAAAUACCACCCUUUAAUGUUUGAUGUUCUAACGUGGACCCGUAAUCCGGGUUGCGGACAGUGUCUGGUGGGUAGUUUGACUGGGGCGGUCUCCUCCUAAAGAGUAACGGAGGAGCACGAAGGUUGGCUAAUCCUGGUCGGACAUCAGGAGGUUAGUGCAAUGGCAUAAGCCAGCUUGACUGCGAGCGUGACGGCGCGAGCAGGUGCGAAAGCAGGUCAUAGUGAUCCGGUGGUUCUGAAUGGAAGGGCCAUCGCUCAACGGAUAAAAGGUACUCCGGGGAUAACAGGCUGAUACCGCCCAAGAGUUCAUAUCGACGGCGGUGUUUGGCACCUCGAUGUCGGCUCAUCACAUCCUGGGGCUGAAGUAGGUCCCAAGGGUAUGGCUGUUCGCCAUUUAAAGUGGUACGCGAGCUGGGUUUAGAACGUCGUGAGACAGUUCGGUCCCUAUCUGCCGUGGGCGCUGGAGAACUGAGGGGGGCUGCUCCUAGUACGAGAGGACCGGAGUGGACGCAUCACUGGUGUUCGGGUUGUCAUGCCAAUGGCACUGCCCGGUAGCUAAAUGCGGAAGAGAUAAGUGCUGAAAGCAUCUAAGCACGAAACUUGCCCCGA
rnacentral:rRNA from 2 species